UACGAGGGGUGCAAGCAUUAUUCGGAAUAACUGGGCGUAAAGGAUAUGUAGACGGUUUUUUAAGUUCAUUGUUUAAGCCCCCAGCUUAACUGGGGAACAGCGGUGAAAACUGGAAGACUAGAGGAUGGAAGAGAGAAGUGGAAUUCUCGGAGUAGCGGUAAAAUGCGUAGAUCUCGAGAGGAACACCAAUGGCGAAGGCAGCUUCUUGGUCCAUUCCUGACGUUGAGAUAUGAAAGCGUGGGUAGCAAACAGG
rnacentral:rRNA from 1 species